GACGAACGCUGGCGGCGUGCCUAAUACAUGCAAGUCGAACGCAGUGGGGACGGGUGAGUAACACGUGGCUAACCUCCCAUCAGAGUGGAUAACAGUUGGAAACAGGUGCUAAACCCAUACGGAUGGAUGGACCCGCUGUGCAUUAGCUAGUUGGUGGGGUAACGGCUCACCAAGGCCAAGAUGCUUAGCCGACCGGAGAGGGUGACGGGCCACACUGGGACUUGGACACGGGCCAGACUCCUACGGGAGGAAGCAGUAGGGAAUAUUCGACAAUGGACGAAAGUCUGAGCGAGCAAUGCCGCGUGCGUGAAGAAGGUUUUCGGGUCGUAAAACUCUGUUGGUAGGGAAGCGUUACCUGAACAGAAAGCCACGGCUAACUACGAGCCAGCAGCCGCGGUAAUAC
rnacentral:rRNA from 1 species